rnacentral:sRNA from 1 species
UCCGGAAUAUGUCACCCGGAGCUCUCCGA